GGUGAGGGUGAGCAAAGCUAAGAAGAUACCCGCCAGCAUCACCACGGCCCCCAUGGUGGAGAAAUAUAGGGGGACAGCAGAGAAUAGAGAAAAGGCCAAAACUUUGAAAUAUUAUAGACAGACCUGGGUUUUGAUCUCAGCUCUACCUCUGUGCUUCUGGCAGCACCCUCUGGUUCUCUCUGCUCUGGGAGGCAGAGGUUCAAACAAUGGAUGCUUGAAGGCAAGAGGAAAGGUCACAUGAGGACACAGUGAGAAGGCAGCAAUCUGCAAGCCAAGAGGAGAGGCUUCCCCAGAACUGAACUUUCCAGCACCUUGAAUUGGGACAUCCGUCC